CCGGUCCUUAAUGGGUGACUCCUAUUGACUGCAGCUGACUGUCCUCCAGCAGCACACAUGAUGUUGAGCGGUUGACGUUAACGUCAACCAGGGAAGCAGUGUUGUGUGGGCUAUGGCUGACACUUUUAGUUACAUAUUCGGUGUAAUUUAGACCUGGAUUUGCUCCCUCAGUUUAAAUCCGUUAAGCCUGCUCUCUCUACCGUGAAAGGUGUAACCUGCUGCCAAUCACCAUCCUCCGACACGUGACCGGUACACACGCGUGCUGAAACAUAGCUCAUCCCUCCGCAAGUUUGGCCCGGCAGCAGUGAUGUUGUAACGUUAACGGGCUACAAAUCCUGAAGGAGGAGCGUAGCGGUGAAACAGAGGCCGCCAUGUUUGUGUGUGUGUCGUGGAGCGUGUGUACGUCGCGCGUGUGUGCAUGCGUGCGCGAGAGGUAGAAGGGGGGGCAGGGCAGUAUGUGGACUCUAUAGCUGAUGACUGAAUGAAGGCUGAGCGUGUAUGUUGCUUUAUGAGGAAGAGCGCUGAUUGAAGGAACCUGGCUGAGCAGUUAAAGGCCGGAGCCAGAGUCUUGCCAGGUCUCUCUUUUGGCUGAAGGACUCUGGGGAGAGCAGCCUCAUUCAUGCUUAGGUUUCCCUUUUGUUUUGGUUCGGCAUGCAACACCCUACAUCAUACCAUGUUCACACAUCCACAUCUACACUACUGAUCUUACUGACUAACACACCUCAUGAUGGUAGGUCUUUGAUUUGUUUGCUAUAAUAAAUAUAUUUUCUUAUAACUUUGUCCUU